AGUGAACGCUGGCGGCAGGCCUAACACAUGCGAGUCGAGCGGAAGAAGGGUGCUUGCUCCUGGAUUCAGCGGGCGACGGGUGGGUGAGGCCGAGGAAUCUGCGUGUCUGCUUUGUAGAACGUCCGAAAGCGGGCGCUCAUACGCCAUUAGUCCAUACGGAGUACGGGGGGGAGCUUCGGAUCUUCCGCUCUCGGAUGAUCCGAGGUCGGAUUAGCUAGUUGGUGGGGUAAAGGCCUACCAAGGCGACGAUCCGUAGCUGGUCUGAGAGGAUGAUCAGCCACACUGGAACUGAGACACGGUCCAGACUCCUACGGGAGGCAGCAGUGGGGAAUAUUGGACAAUGGGCGAAAGCCUGAUCCAGCCAUGCCGCGUGUGUGAAGAAGGUCUUCGGAUUGUAAAGCCCUUUUGGUUGGAAAGAAAAGCAGUAAGUUAAUACCUUGCUGUUCUGACGGUACCCAAAGAAUAAGCACCGGCUAACUUCGUG
rnacentral:rRNA from 1 species